AAAUUUAAAUUCUAAAAAAGAUUCGGUCGCGUACUGUAAAUCCCAAAAAGAUUUAGAUCUAGGUCCAUAUUUUUAUCUGUGCUUCAAAAACCAGC